rnacentral:rRNA from 1 species
AGUGAACGCUGGCGGUAGGCCUAACACAUGCAAGUCGAACGGCAGCACAGAGGAGCUUGCUCCUUGGGUGGCGAGUGGCGGACGGGUGAGGAAUACAUCGGAAUCUACUCUGUCGUGGGGGAUAACGUAGGGAAACUUACGCUAAUACCGCAUACGACCUACGGGUGAAAGCAGGGGAUCUUCGGACCUUGCGCGAUUGAAUGAGCCGAUGUCGGAUUAGCUAGUUGGCGGGGUAAAAGCCCACCAAGGCGACGAUCCGUAGCUGGUCUGAGAGGAUGAUCAGCCACACUGGAACUGAGACACGGUCCAGACUCCUACGGGAGGCAGCAGUGGGGAAUAUUGGACAAUGGGCGCAAGCCUGAUUCAGCCAUACCGCGUGGGUGAAGAAGGCCUUCGGGUUGUAAAGCCCUUUUGUUGGGAAAGAAAUCCAUCUGGUUAAUACCCGGGUGGGAUGACGGUACCCAAAGAAUAAGCACCGGCUAACUUCGUGCCAGCCGCCGCGGUAA